UACGGAGGGAGCUAGCGUUGUUCGGAAUUACUGGGCGUAAAGCGCGCGUAGGCGGCUUUGUAAGUUAGAGGUGAAAGCCCGGGGGCUCAACCCCGGAACUGCCUUUAAGACUGCAUCGCUUGAAUCCGGGAGAGGUGAGUGGAAUUCCGAGUGUAGAGGUGAAAUUCGUAGAUAUUCGGAAGAACACCAGUGGCGAAGGCGGCUCACUGGACCGGGCAUUGACGCUGAUGUGCGAAAGCGUGGGGAGCAAACAGG
rnacentral:rRNA from 1 species